rnacentral:rRNA from 1 species
AUGCUGGAGGUAUCAGAAGUGCGAAUGCUGACAUAAGUAACGAUAAAGCGGGUGAAAAGCCCGCUCGCCGGAAGACCAAGGGUUCCUGUCCAACGUUAAUCGGGGCAGGGUGAGUCGACCCCUAAGGCGAGGCCGAAAGGCGUAGUCGAUGGGAAACAGGUUAAUAUUCCUGUACUUGGUGUUACUGCGAAGGGGGGACGGAGAAGGCUAUGUUGGCCGGGCGACGGUUGUCCCGGUUUAAGCGUGUAGGCUGGUUUUCCAGGCAAAUCCGGAAAAUCAAGGCUGAGGCGUGAUGACGAGGCACUACGGUGCUGAAGCAACAAAUGCCCUGCUUCCAGGAAAAGCCUCUAAGCAUCAGGUAACAUCAAAUCGUACCCCAAACCGACACAGGUGGUCAGGUAGAGAAUACCAAGGCGCUUGAGAGAACUCGGGUGAAGGAACUAGGCAAAAUGGUGCCGUAACUUCGGGAGAAGGCACGCUGAUAUGUAGGUGAAGUCCCUCGCGGAUGGAGCUGAAAUCAGUCGAAGAUACCAGCUGGCUGCAACUGUUUAUUAAAAACACAGCACUGUGCAAACACGAAAGUGGACGUAUACGGUGUGACGCCUGCCCGGUGCCGGAAGGUUAAUUGAUGGGGUCAGCGCAAGCGAAGCUCUUGAUCGAAGCCCCGGUAAACGGCGGCCGUAACUAUAACGGUCCUAAGGUAGCGAAAUUCCUUGUCGGGUAAGUUCCGACCUGCACGAAUGGCGUAAUGAUGGCCAGGCUGUCUCCACCCGAGACUCAGUGAAAUUGAACUCGCUGUGAAGAUGCAGUGUACCCGCGGCAAGACGGAAAGACCCCGUGAACCUUUACUAUAGCUUGACACUGAACAUUGAGCCUUGAUGUGUAGGAUAGGUGGGAGGCUUUGAAGUGUGGACGCCAGUCUGCAUGGAGCCGACCUUGAAAUACCACCCUUUAAUGUUUGAUGUUCUAACGUUGACCCGUAAUCCGGGUUGCGGACAGUGUCUGGUGGGUAGUUUGACUGGGGCGGUCUCCUCCUAAAGAGUAACGGAGGAGCACGAAGGUUGGCUAAUCCUGGUCGGACAUCAGGAGGUUAGUGCAAUGGCAUAAGCCAGCUUGACUGCGAGCGUGACGGCGCGAGCAGGUGCGAAAGCAGGUCAUAGUGAUCCGGUGGUUCUGAAUGGAAGGGCCAUCGCUCAACGGAUAAAAGGUACUCCGGGGAUAACAGGCUGAUACCGCCCAAGAGUUCAUAUCGACGGCGGUGUUUGGCACCUCGAUGUCGGCUCAUCACAUCCUGGGGCUGAAGUAGGUCCCAAGGGUAUGGCUGUUCGCCAUUUAAAGUGGUACGCGAGCUGGGUUUAGAACGUCGUGAGACAGUUCGGUCCCUAUCUGCCGUGGGCG